rnacentral:rRNA from 1 species
UACGUAGGGGCCGAGCGUUGUCCGGAGUUAUUGGGCGUAAAGCGCGCGCAGGCGGCCUCGCGCGCCCGACGUGAAAGCCCCCCGGCUUAACCGGGGAGGGUCGUUGGGGACGGCGGGGCUUGAGGGCGGGAGAGGUCGGUGGAAUUCCCGGUGUAGUGGUGAAAUGCGUAGAGAUCGGGAGGAACACCUGUGGCGAAGGCGGCCGACUGGGCCGACCCUGACGCUGAGGCGCGAAGGCGUGGGGAGCGAACGGGG